GGUUUCAUAGUGUAGUUGGUUAGCACAUGGGACUCUGAAUCCCAUAACCCCGGUUCGAAUCCGGGUGAAACCG
rfam:Giardia intestinalis strain GS GS_B_0020, whole genome shotgun sequence.